CGAAGUUGAGGCUAGAUCCUACAAUGUUGACCUACCCAGAUUUUGUGUAAAAAUGUUCCAAGAAAGUCAGUUUGAUAGACUUGAUGAAGGUUGAUUGAGAAAGCCAAUUUUAGCCGUUUUGAUGAAAAUAGGUUUCACAAAGAAACACUGUAAAAGAUCAGAGGAAGAUCGUUUAUCCUUCAACAAAAUUGAGGUAAAUCCUUACCCUUUCCCAAGCAUUUCAGUAAUUGCCAUACCCAUCGCUGGGGAAAGUUUACCUAAAGUGUUAAUCAACAGAGGAAGCUCUCUUAAUAUCCUAUAUGUCAAAACCCUCAAGUGGAUGGGAAUUCCUAUGCAUUUUUUGCAAUAAUACCCAAAUUAAAUCCUUGGAUUGAAAUAGAGCUUUGAUGAUGCUGAAAGAAAAAAAAAUCAAGCUUACUAUGGAGGUUGAGAAAAUUCCCCUUUGGCUAAAGUUAUCGCUCAAUUUGUUAUAUUGGACUCUGCCUUGCCAUAAGACACGAUUUUAGGACAAUCUUUACUUUUUGAUUAAGAACAAUUGUCUCAAUGACUUCCCAAUGAUUUAUGGAGUAGAAGAGAUCAAAGGCAACAAAAAAA
rnacentral:lncRNA from 1 species